GUGUUUCGGGCCCUUUAAGAGGCGACGCCGGAGCCGGAGCCAUUUUCCCCCCUUCGGCCGCGGCGAGGAGGAGCCGGAGCGGGAGUGACACCGGGCCGGACCCAGCGCGACCUGCGGCGGCUCCGGGUGACUCGGGCCAGUGUAGAGGGCCCCAGGCCGCAGGCAGGAGCAGCUGGGCCAGUUCCCUGGCCGGGAGCGGAAGGGGAUGGCGUCGGGCCUGGGCUCCCCGUCCCCCUGCUCGGCGGGCAGCGAGGAGGAAGAUAUGGAUGCACUUUUGAACAACAGCCUGCCCCCACCCCACCCAGAAAAUGAAGAGGACCCAGAAGAGGAUUUGUCAGAAGCAGAGACUCCAAAGCUCAAGAAGAAGAAAAAGCCUAAGAAACCUCGGGACCCUAAAAUCCCUAAGAGCAAGCGCCAAAAAAAGGAGCGUAUGCUCUUGUGCCGGCAGCUGGGGGACAGCUCUGGGGAGGGGCCGGAGUUUGUGGAGGAGGAGGAAGAGGUGGCUCUGCGCUCAGACAGUGAGGGCAGCGACUAUACCCCUGGCAAGAAGAAGAAGAAGAAGCUUGGACCUAAGAAAGAAAAGAAGAGCAAAUCCAAGCGGAAGGAAGAGGAGGAGGAGGAUGAUGAUGACGAUGAUUCAAAGGAGCCUAAAUCCUCCGCUCAGCUCCUAGAAGACUGGGGCAUGGAAGACAUUGACCAUGUGUUCUCAGAGGAGGAUUACCGCACCCUCACCAACUACAAGGCCUUCAGCCAGUUUGUCCGACCUCUCAUUGCUGCCAAAAACCCCAAGAUUGCUGUCUCCAAGAUGAUGAUGGUUUUGGGUGCAAAGUGGCGUGAGUUCAGCACCAACAAUCCCUUCAAAGGCAGUUCUGGGGCUUCAGUGGCGGCGGCGGCGGCGGCGGCGGUGGCUGUGGUGGAGAGCAUGGUGACGGCCACUGAAGUUGCCCCACCUCCUCCCCCUGUGGAGGUGCCUAUCCGCAAGGCCAAGACCAAGGAGGGCAAAGGUCCCAAUGCUCGGAGGAAGCCCAAGGGCAGCCCUCGUGUACCCGAUGCCAAGAAGCCUAAACCCAAGAAAGUAGCUCCCCUGAAAAUCAAGCUGGGAGGUUUUGGUUCUAAGCGUAAGAGAUCCUCGAGUGAGGAUGAUGACUUGGAUGUAGAGUCUGACUUCGACGAUGCCAGUAUCAAUAGCUAUUCCGUUUCUGAUGGUUCCACCAGCCGCAGUAGCCGCAGCCGCAAGAAACUGCGAACCACUAAAAAGAAAAAGAAAGGCGAGGAGGAGGUGACUGCUGUGGAUGGUUAUGAGACAGACCACCAGGACUAUUGCGAGGUGUGCCAGCAAGGCGGUGAGAUCAUCCUGUGUGAUACCUGUCCCCGAGCUUACCACAUGGUCUGCCUGGAUCCAGAUAUGGAGAAGGCUCCUGAGGGCAAGUGGAGCUGCCCACACUGCGAGAAGGAAGGCAUCCAGUGGGAGGCUAAAGAGGACAAUUCGGAGGGUGAGGAGAUCCUGGAAGAGGUUGGAGGAGACCCAGAAGAGGAGGAUGACCACCAUAUGGAAUUCUGUCGUGUCUGUAAGGAUGGUGGGGAGUUGCUCUGCUGUGACACCUGUCCUUCAUCCUACCACAUCCACUGCCUGAACCCCCCACUUCCAGAGAUCCCUAAUGGCGAAUGGCUCUGUCCCCGUUGUACGUGUCCAGCUCUUAAGGGCAAAGUUCAGAAGAUUCUAAUCUGGAAAUGGGGUCAGCCACCAUCUCCCACACCAGUGCCUCGGCCUCCAGAUGCUGAUCCCAAUACUCCCUCUCCCAAGCCCCUGGAGGGGCGGCCAGAGCGGCAGUUCUUUGUGAAAUGGCAAGGCAUGUCUUACUGGCACUGCUCCUGGGUGUCUGAACUGCAGUUGGAGCUGCACUGUCAAGUGAUGUUCCGAAACUAUCAGCGGAAGAAUGAUAUGGACGAACCACCUUCUGGGGACUUUGGUGGUGAUGAAGAGAAGAGCCGGAAGCGCAAGAACAAAGACCCUAAAUUUGCAGAGAUGGAGGAACGCUUCUAUCGCUAUGGGAUAAAACCUGAGUGGAUGAUGAUCCACCGAAUUCUCAACCACAGUGUGGACAAGAAGGGCCAUGUCCACUACUUGAUCAAGUGGCGGGACUUGCCCUACGAUCAGGCAUCCUGGGAGAGCGAGGAUGUGGAAAUACAGGACUACGACCUGUUCAAGCAGAGCUAUUGGAACCACAGGGAGUUAAUGAGGGGUGAGGAAGGACGACCAGGCAAGAAGCUCAAGAAGGUGAAGCUGAGGAAGUUGGAGAGGCCUCCUGAAACUCCUACAGUUGAUCCAACAGUGAAGUAUGAGCGACAGCCAGAGUACCUGGAUGCUACGGGUGGAACCCUGCACCCCUAUCAGAUGGAGGGCUUGAACUGGUUGCGCUUCUCCUGGGCUCAAGGCACCGACACCAUCUUGGCUGAUGAGAUGGGCCUUGGGAAGACUGUCCAGACAGCAGUCUUCCUCUAUUCUCUCUACAAGGAGGGUCAUUCCAAAGGCCCCUUCCUAGUGAGUGCCCCUCUUUCUACCAUCAUCAACUGGGAGCGGGAGUUUGAAAUGUGGGCUCCAGAUAUGUAUGUGGUGACCUACGUGGGUGACAAAGACAGCCGUGCCAUCAUCCGAGAGAAUGAGUUCUCCUUUGAAGACAAUGCCAUUCGUGGUGGCAAGAAAGCCUCUCGCAUGAAGAAAGAGGCAUCUGUGAAAUUUCACGUGCUGCUGACAUCCUAUGAGUUGAUUACCAUUGACAUGGCUAUCUUGGGUUCCAUUGAUUGGGCCUGCCUCAUUGUGGAUGAAGCGCAUCGGCUCAAGAACAAUCAGUCAAAGUUCUUCCGGGUGUUAAAUGGUUACUCACUCCAACACAAGCUGUUGCUGACCGGGACUCCAUUACAAAACAAUCUAGAAGAAUUGUUUCAUCUGCUCAACUUUCUCACCCCCGAGAGAUUCCACAACUUGGAAGGCUUCUUGGAGGAGUUUGCCGACAUUGCCAAGGAGGACCAGAUUAAAAAACUGCAUGACAUGCUGGGCCCUCAUAUGUUGCGGCGGCUCAAAGCUGAUGUGUUCAAGAAUAUGCCAUCCAAGACAGAACUGAUUGUGCGCGUGGAGCUGAGCCCUAUGCAGAAGAAAUACUACAAGUACAUUCUUACUCGAAAUUUUGAAGCACUCAAUGCUCGAGGGGGUGGCAACCAGGUCUCUCUGCUAAAUGUGGUGAUGGAUCUGAAGAAGUGCUGCAACCACCCAUACCUCUUCCCUGUGGCUGCGAUGGAAGCCCCUAAAAUGCCUAAUGGCAUGUAUGAUGGCAGUGCCCUCAUCCGAGCAUCGGGGAAAUUAUUGCUGCUUCAGAAGAUGCUCAAGAACCUUAAGGAGGGUGGGCACCGUGUACUCAUCUUCUCUCAGAUGACCAAAAUGCUGGACCUGUUGGAGGAUUUCUUGGAACAUGAAGGUUAUAAGUAUGAACGUAUCGACGGUGGGAUCACUGGGAACAUGCGGCAAGAGGCCAUUGAUCGCUUCAAUGCACCGGGUGCUCAACAGUUCUGCUUCCUGCUUUCCACUCGAGCCGGGGGCCUUGGAAUCAAUCUGGCCACUGCAGACACAGUUAUUAUCUAUGACUCUGACUGGAACCCCCAUAAUGACAUCCAGGCUUUUAGCAGAGCUCACCGUAUUGGGCAGAAUAAGAAGGUGAUGAUAUAUCGGUUUGUGACCCGUGCGUCAGUGGAGGAGCGCAUCACGCAGGUGGCAAAGAAGAAGAUGAUGCUGACGCAUCUCGUGGUUCGGCCCGGGCUGGGCUCCAAGACUGGAUCCAUGUCCAAACAGGAGCUUGAUGACAUCCUCAAGUUUGGCACUGAGGAACUAUUUAAGGAUGAAGCCACAGAUGGAGGAGGAGACAACAAAGAGGGAGAAGAUAGCAGUGUUAUCCACUAUGAUGACAAGGCCAUUGAGCGACUUCUGGACCGUAAUCAGGAUGAGACAGAAGACACAGAAUUGCAGGGCAUGAAUGAAUAUUUGAGCUCGUUCAAAGUGGCCCAGUACGUGGUGCGGGAAGAAGAGAUGGGGGAGGAAGAGGAGGUAGAACGAGAAAUCAUAAAACAGGAAGAAAGUGUGGAUCCUGACUACUGGGAGAAAUUGCUGCGGCACCAUUAUGAGCAGCAGCAAGAAGAUCUAGCCCGAAAUCUGGGCAAAGGAAAAAGAAUCCGUAAACAGGUCAACUACAAUGAUGGCUCCCAGGAGGACCGAGAUUGGCAGGACGACCAGUCCGACAACCAGUCCGAUUAUUCAGUGGCCUCAGAGGAAGGUGAUGAAGACUUUGAUGAACGCUCAGAAGCUCCCCGCAGGCCCAGUCGUAAGGGCCUGCGGAAUGAUAAAGAUAAGCCAUUGCCUCCUCUGUUGGCCCGUGUUGGUGGGAAUAUUGAAGUACUUGGCUUUAAUGCUCGUCAGCGAAAAGCCUUUCUUAAUGCAAUUAUGCGAUAUGGGAUGCCACCUCAGGAUGCUUUUACCACCCAGUGGCUUGUGAGAGAUCUGCGAGGCAAAUCAGAGAAAGAGUUCAAGGCUUAUGUAUCUCUUUUCAUGCGACAUUUAUGUGAGCCAGGAGCAGAUGGGGCUGAGACCUUUGCUGAUGGUGUCCCCCGAGAAGGCCUGUCUCGCCAGCAUGUCCUUACUAGGAUUGGUGUCAUGUCCUUGAUUCGAAAGAAGGUUCAGGAGUUUGAACAUGUCAAUGGGCGCUGGAGCAUGCCUGAACUUGCUGAAGUAGAAGAAAACAAGAAAAUGUCUCAGCCAGGGUCACCUUCCCCAAAGACUCCUACACCCUCCACUCCAGGGGACACACAACCCAAUACCCCUGCACCUGCCCCACCUGCUGAGGAUGGGAUAAAAAUAGAGGAGAAUAGCCUUAAAGAGGAAGAGAGUGCAGAAGGAGAAAAGGAGGUUAAGUCUGCAGCCCCCGAGGCCACCGUUGAGUGUACACAAACCCCUGCCCCUGCCUCAGAGGACGAAAAAGUCCUUGUUGAACCUCCCGAGGGAGAGGAGAAAGUGGAAAAGGCAGAGGUGAAGGAGAGAACAGAGGAACCGAUGGAGACAGAGCCCAAAGGUGUUGCUGACGUGGAGAAGGUAGAGGAGAAGUCAGCAGUAGAUCUGACCCCCAUUGUGGUAGAGGACAAAGAAGAGAAGAAAGAAGAAGAAGAGAAAAAGGAGGUGAUGCUUCAGAAUGGAGAGACCCCUAAGGACCUGAAUGAUGAGAAGCAGAAAAAAAAUAUUAAACAGCGUUUCAUGUUCAACAUCGCGGAUGGUGGUUUUACCGAGUUGCACUCCCUUUGGCAGAAUGAGGAGCGGGCAGCCACUGUCACCAAGAAGACUUACGAGAUCUGGCAUCGGCGGCAUGACUACUGGCUGCUGGCUGGCAUCAUAAACCAUGGCUAUGCCCGGUGGCAGGACAUCCAGAAUGACCCACGCUAUGCCAUCCUCAAUGAACCUUUCAAGGGUGAAAUGAAUCGUGGCAAUUUCUUAGAGAUCAAGAAUAAAUUUCUAGCCCGAAGGUUCAAGAACCAGUGGAUGGAUACUUGAGCAAAUUAAGUCUUAUAACUUCUGAAUCAACAUUCUGUCUCUUGGAAUAUAUUGCAAAGAACCUUUUACAUAGCUCCGUCAGGUGACUUGUCUCUUAGAACAAGCCCUGGUGAUUGAGGAACAGCUGCGCCGGGCAGCUUACCUAAACAUGUCAGAGGACCCCUCUCACCCUUCCAUGGCCCUAAACACGCGCUUUGCUGAAGUGGAGUGUUUGGCAGAGAGUCACCAGCACCUGUCCAAGGAGUCAAUGGCCGGAAACAAGCCUGCCAAUGCGGUCCUGCACAAAGGUAUUCUGAAACAGCUAGAAGAACUGCUGAGUGACAUGAAAGCCGACGUAACCCGGCUCCCAGCCACUAUUGCCCGGAUUCCCCCGGUUGCUGUGAGGUUACAGAUGUCAGAGCGCAACAUUCUCAGCCGCCUGGCAAACCGAGCACCUGAACCUACUCCACAGCAGGUAGCCCAGCAGCAGUGAAGACCCGGAUCGAUGAUACCACCUCCACCGCUGAGCAGUGACCUUCCUCACUUUCCCUUGCCCAGCUUCUCCCCUGGGGGCCUGAGAGACCCUCUCCUUCCUUCUGCCCCAUCUUCCGUGUUGUAAAGGAACAGCCCCCGUGCACUGGGGAAGGGGAGGGAGCGAGGGGCAGUGGUGCCCUUCCUGCUGGAGAGACAUGCAGCAGUAGCGCCGGCGCCGUCUGCAGGGAGCUGGCGGGCUGGCCUUCUUCUGGGCCCUGGCUUCUCCCCACUGUAACGCCUGUUACACACAAACUGUUGUGGGUUCCCGCCAGGCUUGAAGAAAAUGAUCUGAAUUUCUUCCUCCUUUUGGUUUUAUUUUGUUGGUUUAUUUUGUGUUUUCUUUUCUCCUUUUUUGGGGUAUUCAGAGUGGGCCGGGCCCCUGGGCGAGACACAGCUACCUCUGUUGGCAUCUUUUUAAUACCAGGAACCCAGCGGCUCCAGCCACUGAGCAGCUAGAAUGAAAUAAAGUGGAAAAAAAAAAAAAAAAAAGGAAAAGAACCAAAAGCAUAAAAAACCACAGCAAAUUUCUUGAUGAAAAUUGAAAAUAAAAGUUUCCUUGUAUUUUA